UCAAAUCUUUAAGAGCAAACGGUGGAUGCCUUGGCAUCUGGAGCCGAAGAAGGACGUAGCAAUCUGCGAUAAGCCUCGGGGAGUGGAUAAGCACACUUUGAUCCGAGGAUUUCCGAAUGGGGAAACCCCGCUGGGCGGCGUGCCGACCCAGUGACUCCCGCCUGAAUAUAUAGGGCGGGUAGAGGGAACGUGGGGAAGUGAAACAUCUCAGUACCCACAGGAAGAGAAAGCAACCGCGAUUCCGUUAGUAGUGGCGAGCGAAACCGGAACAGGCUAAACCGAGUAUGUGUGAUAUCCGGCAGGAGUUGCAUAUUCGGGGUUGAGGGACUUUUCAGGUUGAUCUGCCGAUCAGCCGGCGUUACAGAUCGAUAUAGACGAAUGGUCUUGAAAGGCCAGUCAUAGAGGGUGCCAACCCCGUAGUCGAAAUGUUGUUGAUGGCGCGAGAAGUAUCCCAAGUAGCACGGGGCCCGAGAAAUCCCGUGUGAAUCUGUCAGGACCACCUGAUAAGCCUAAAUACUCCCAGAUGACCGAUAGCGGACAAGUACCGUGAGGGAAAGGUGAAAAGUACCCCGGGAGGGGAGUGAAAUAGUACCUGAAACCGUUUGCUUACAAACCGUUGGAGCAGCCUUGUUGCUGUGACAGCGUGCCUUUUGAAGAAUGAGCCUGCGAGUUAGCGAUAUGUGGCGAGGUUAACCCGAGUGGGGUAGCCGUAGCGAAAGCGAGUCUGAAUAGGGCGAUUCAGUCGCAUGUCCUAGACCCGAAGCGAAGUGAUCUAUCCAUGGCCAGGUUGAAGCGCGUGUAAGAGCGCGUGGAGGACCGAACCCACUUAGGUUGAAAACUGAGGGGAUGAGCUGUGGAUAGGGGUGAAAGGCCAAUCAAACUUCGUGAUAGCUGGUUCUCUCCGAAAUGCAUUUAGGUGCAGCGUUGCGUGUUUCUUGCCGGAGGUAGAGCUACUGGAUGGCCGAUGGGGCCCAAAAGCUUACUGACGUCAGCCAAACUCCGAAUGCCGGUAAGUGAGAGCGCAGCAGUGAGACUGUGGGGGAUAAGCUUCAUAGUCGAGAGGGAAACAACCCAGACCACCAUCUAAGGUCCCUAAGCGCGUGCUAAGUGGGAAAGGAUGUGGAGUUGCUUUGACAACCAGGAGGUUGGCUUAGAAGCAGCCACCCUUGAAAGAGUGCGUAAUAGCUCACUGGUCAAGUGAUUCCGCGCCGACAAUGUAACGGGGCUCAAGCACGCCACCGAAGCUGUGGCAUUGAUAUUAUUGGUAGGCCUUCGUGGUCCAGCCGUAUUGAUGGGUAGGAGAGCGUCGUGUGGCCAGCGAAGCGGCGGUGUGAACCAGCCGUGGAGGCUACACGAGUGAGAAUGCAGGCAUGAGUAGCGAAAGACAUGUGAGAAACAUGUCCUCCGAAAGACCAAGGGUUCCAGGGUCAAGCUAAUCUUCCCUGGGUAAGUCGGGACCUAAGGCGAGGCCGACAGGCGUAGUCGAUGGACAACGGGUUGAUAUUCCCGUACCGGCGAAGAACCGCCCAAGCUCAACCAGUAGUGCUAAGUAUCUGAAUCCCUUUGACGGAUCCCUUCGGGGUGAAGCGUUGGGCCUAGCGUACGACCCCAUUCUGGCGCGGCUAGCGUAUUAACAGGUGUGACGCAGGAAGGUAGCCCAACCCGGGCGAUGGUUGUCCCGGGGCAAGUGCGUAGGCCGAGAGGUAGGCAAAUCCGCCUCUCAUAUAAGGCUGAGACACGAUGCGGAUAAAAAGUGGGUGAUCCUAUGCUGCCAAGAAAAGCAUCGACGCGAGGUUCUAGCUGCCCGUACCCCAAACCGACUCAGGUGGUCAGGUAGAGAAUACUAAGGAGAUCGAGAGAAUCGUGGUUAAGGAACUCGGCAAAAUGCCCCCGUAACUUCGGGAGAAGGGGGGCCAUCGACGUAUUAGGACUUGCUCCGAAAGCGUUUGGUGGCCGCAGAGACUAGUGGGUAGCGACUGUUUACUAAAAACACAGGUCCGUGCCAAGUCGCAAGACGAUGUAUACGGACUGACGCCUGCCCGGUGCUGGAAGGUUAAGAGGAGGGGUUAGCGUAAGCGAAGCUCUGAAUUUAAGCCCCAGUAAACGGCGGUGGUAACUAUAACCAUCCUAAGGUAGCGAAAUUCCUUGUCGGGUAAGUUCCGACCU
rnacentral:rRNA from 1 species